UCAACUUUGAAAUCCUUGACUGAGUCUGC
rnacentral:piRNA from 1 species